rnacentral:lncRNA from 1 species
AUGCGGUGUGAGGUGGCGUGCCAGACUGAUGUAUACACAACUGAUGUAGCAUGCCAAACCGACGCGGUUAUGCCCAUCAAACAUACCAGCACACAAUGCAGUUGGAAACCAAAACAAAGAAGCAAGAGCAUCCAGGUUAAACAGCAUAAGAAGGAUGUUAGCUGUAACGUUAGCACAGUCAUGUUGAACACAUCGUUCGAAGAACUUCCACUUGCCGUUUCAACCCCUGUAAAAAGGUCAAGAACUACGGCUAUAGAUGACAUUACGUUCAACCCAGAUGAUACCAACCACACCAUCUAUAAUGAGAGUACUGAAAUAGAAACACCACAUUACAAAAUGAGGAAAUUUAUAGUUUACGAAGAAAACAUCAUUGUGCUCUUCAGGCAGUGUCCUAUCUGCACCAAAAGAUGUGUUAUACACAGUAGGACUGUCGGAUCUCUUUAAUUUGUGGAUCAGGUCUGCACACACUGUGAGCAUCGUAACACUUGGACCAGUCAGCCGUAUGUUGCAGACAUACCAGCAGGAAAUAUCCAGCUGGCCGCAGCUGUAGUUUUUAGUGGAGCGUCCUUCUUGCAAGUGGAUAAGGCAAGGCUAUUUUUAUUUAUAUCCCUCUGUGACCCUUGUUUUCUGCUGCAGUUUAAGUAAUAGUUAAUUUUCCAUGUGUCCGCAGUUGUUUCAGUUAUAUAACAUUGCAGGGAUUAGUCACACGACCUACCUAAAACAUCAGCGGAAUUUACUUUUUCCAACAAUCAAUUGGUUGUGGAAUAUGGAACAAAGUACAGCUGUUCAACAUGCAAUCACGAAUGGAGACACCAUCUUUGGCGGGGACAUGCGGGCCGACUCUCCAGGUAAGUUUAUUAAAGUAAUACAACAAUAUAAAAGCAGUAUUAUGUAAAUUAGUUAACAAAUGUUAUUUAAUCAUACUUUUUUAGGACACAGUGCAAAAUAUGGUACCUAUUCUGUGAUGGACCUGAAAGCAAACCGAAUAGUGGACAUUCAGCUUAUCCAGGUAUUUCAGUGUACUACCAAAUGUUAUGC